rnacentral:rRNA from 1 species
UACGAAGGGGGGCUAGCGUUGCUCGGAAUCACUGGGCGUAAAGCGCACGUAGGCGGCUUUCUAAGUCAGGGGGUGAAAUCCUGGAGCUCAACUCCAGAACUGCCUUUGAUACUGGAGAGCUUGAGUCCGGAAAAGGUGAGUGGAACUCCGAGUGUAGAGGUGAAAUUCGUAGAUAUUCGGAAGAACACCAGUGGCGAAGGCGGCUCACUGGUCCGGUACUGACGCUGAUGUGCGAAAGCGUGGGUAGCAAAACAGG